UUUUACGGCAGCCACAGAAAGGGAAAAGGACAGAUGGGACCCUGGUUUCUACACUGCGCUCCUAUAUUUGUAUCACUGUAGCCAAAAUAUCCAACAGUUACAGUUUAAAGAAAGAAAGCCUGAUUUGGGCUCAGCAUUUCAGAGUGGUCCACGCCAUCCUGGCCAGAAGACAGGCCUCAGCUUCCAAAGCUUCCCCAAGUGGCAUCCACCAGCCAGAAAAUGAGAGCUCCACAACAGGAACCAACGAGGGACAUUGCACACUGAAACAAUAACAUGGGCAGAAACACAGAAGAAGCCUGUGUGUGACUUGUCACCGACUGCUGUACUGGAUCUCAUGCACCUCAGGUGGCUGGUUCCCAACUCACUAGGAGUGGAGGAUGACCUUGUACUCAGUUCUCCCGGAACUGAGGCGUGAGGAGCGAGGUGUGGUGGCAGCAGCCCUGAACUUCCGGCUAGGAGGCAGGGUUUAAAGGUUAGACUACAUCAAGCAGUGGCUUUGUUAGCUGAGCUGGCUUUGUCCCUGUACCUCUAGCGAGGAUUAGCCAGUUUAGCAGGCCAACGACAAGGAGGCUCAUUUCAUAACCCUUUCUGUCCCAGUGUGGUCGCCCGCCCUCCAGGUCACCCUUAGGGCAAAGAGUCCCAGUCUCCUGGCCUGCCUGCUUUACUUCUUUCCUAGGCUCUAACCUUGGGAAUAAAAACAGAGAGUUUCUGUGAUAGGGCAGUUGUUGUCCACACCUGGGUUCUCUCAGGGCGUAUAUAUAAUUAAUACUGUGA